AAGUUCAUUUCUAGUCCUCACAACAACAAUAAAGACUAAAAAAUAAAUAAAUAAAAAUAAACCAAAUUGAUAAAUUAUAAAGAUGAAACAAUAACAGGAUUGCCUGGCAUGGGGUAGUAUGUCAUAGCUCACCUAAUAGUUUCGGAAAACAUCACCUUAUUUAAACCCCACACCUACCCAGACAAGUAGCUAACACGAGCUUAAAAUCAAUGACACUGAGAGCCCAAGAAUUGUCAUUUGCCCAAAAUUACAUAGCUAGUAAGUAGAGCAGCUGCAUUCAGAUCUAGAAGGCCUAGGUUCAACUCCAGUAUUCUAUCUGACAGUCACCUUCAUAAAAUGCGAGUGCACUUUUUUCUUAUGUUUUUAAUUGAAAAAAGUAAUGCAUGUGUAUAGAUUUUAAGACUUUAGUUUCUCUUAUCACCAGAACCACUUUUAAUAGUUACUUGUGCAUUAUUCCAGAAUUUCUCUAUGCAAAUAACAGUAUAAUUCUUUAAACAUCUGGACGAAUAAGCUUAUUCUUCUUUUUCUUUUUUUUUUGUUAUUUCCCCAAUACAAUUUUUUUCUACUGUACGGCAUCAUGACCCAGUUACACAUACAUGUACACAUUCUAUUUUCACACACUAUCAUGCUCCAUCAUAAGUGACCAGACAUAGUUCCCAGUGCUAUAUAGCAGGAUUGCAUUGCUAAUCCAUUCCAAAGGUAAUAGUUUGCAUCUAUUAACCCUAAGCUCCAAUCCAUCCCACUGCCUCCCCCGCCCCCUUGGCAACCACAAGUCUAUUCUCCAAGUCCAUGAUUUUCUUUUCUGUGGAAAGGAAUGAGCUUAUUCUAAACACAACACCCUCAACUGUUUAGUGGCUACUUAGUCUUGCUUUAUAAGUAGGUACCAUUAUUUAUUUAUUAUCAUCUGCCAAUAGACAUUUCAGUGGUUUUCAGUAUUUGUGGCAUUUUAAUAUUCAAUAUUAACUUUAUGUACUUACUUGAAUAUUUCAAAAGAAAUACAACUGACCCUUGAACAAUGCGGGGGGUUGGGGUGCCAACCUUCCAGCAGUUGAAAAUCGACAUGUAAAUUAUAGUCAGCUCUCCAUGUACACAGUUCCUCCACAUCCACAGUCCCAGAUCCUCAGAUUCAACCAAUCACAGAGCACGCACCACUGUAUAUUUACUAUUAAAAAAAUAUGCAUAUAAGUGAACCCUUGCGGUUCAAGCCCAUGUUGUUCAAGGGUCAACUGAAUAUUAAUUUCAAUGUUCAUGGGCCUUUUGGCAGAUGUAUGAGUUCAGCUGCAGGUUAGAUUCCUAGAUAUGAAAUUGCUGGAUUGAGAGGCAUAUGAAUUUUAAAUUUCGAUACAUGAGAUUGACUUGUUCUUCCAAGAAGCACCCUUAAUUCAUAUUCUACACAAACACAGAGUUGAAAAGUGACCCUGAAUGUGAGACAGCAUUACAGACCACUGAAGGGACACUGUUGGUCCAGAGUUUGUGGGUUCUACGACCCAAGCAUAGACUCCUGCCUUUCACCCACGAAGGGCCAGGACUGCAGCUUUUGACCUUUACGUAAUGGCCCAAAGAUGUUUGCUCUGAAUCAAUAAAACAAAGACAAACAAACAAGGUUCCCUACACCCCCCUUAGGAGAAGGGGUGUUUAAUGCAUUCCCCCACUUCUCCAGGUCAGUCCUUCAUGCCAUGAAGCUCUCAGCUGAACACACAAGAGCUUCAGAAAAAAAGUGCUGGUUUGGAUUACCAGCAAAAUAAUAUGGGACUGUAAAUAGGCCUUAUGACUUUUUAUGAGGAAGCCAUGUGAUGCUUUUAUUGCCUUCACGGCAAUAAAUGUCGACAUCAAUUUAAUUAUUUGCUGCUUCCCUGCCGGCCCCCUUUCCACAGAGGAAAACAAUAUCACAGGGUGUUUUCACCUGGCCUGGAGCCCCACUGAGGACCACCAAAUGAAGGCAAGAGAUGCUGUCUUCCGAUACAGAGUCUGAAUCACAGAACUGCCACUCGGAGCAAGGAUUCAAGGAGUGACUCACUGAUUCCAUGGUUCCCAGGACAGCCUCAGUAUUCACUGAACGUUGCCAUAAACUGAAAGUGCAGUUCCCAACACACACAGCAGCCACUUGCUCCUUUUAGUUUUAUAAUAAUUCUGGGAAACGGGAAUCAUUAACCUUUCUGAGCCCCACUUUCCUCAUUUAUCAAAUUACCUGGUGCCAGAGCUCAGUGGCAGAGCCAGGAGGUAGAACAGGAUGACCUGGGUUCAAGUGCAGCAACCACAUGACUCUCAGUGGUCUGAACAUUUGACGGCUUCUCAGAAUUCUGCCCUCUGAUAGCUCUCUGACUGUAUCCCCUCCACCCCCAACACACACCUCCAGCCUCUCAGCCACAGUGACCCCCCCUGCAGUUCACUGAACAUUCCAGGUAAGUUCCUACCUCGGGGCCUUUGCACUGGUGCUCACCCCAGCAGAGAUUCUCAAACCCCAGGUUUCCACAUGGCUCCCUGUCAAACCUCUUCCAAAACUUUUCUCAAAUGCCACCUUCUCCGAGGGAGUUCCAGCUGUGACAGCACCUCACCUCCAAUGUUCUCUCUCCCACUUUCAUCCAUGCAUUCUUUUUGCUCCCCAGCAUGUCACUAGCAGACACACAUUACAUUAAUUUACUUGCUUUUUGCACCUAGCCUUGAGAAUGUAACCUCCAUGAAAACAUGGGGUUUGUUUCUAUAGUUUUGUUUUACUUUGUUUUCACUCACCUCUACUCCAUCCCCAGAGCCUAGAACAACAUCUGGUACGAAGCACCAGUGAAUUAUUGAAUGGUUAGUGAAUCAGGGUAAGAUGACUGCAGAUGUGUUCAUCAUAUUCUGCUCCCCUUCCUGGACACACAAGAGAAGACUACAUUCCCCAGCCUCCCUUGCAGCUAGGUGAGGGCCAUGUGACUGACUUCUGACCAAUGGGAUGUGGGCAGCAAUGCGCUAAGAAAUGCCCUCCAGGAUACUCUAGCUCUCUCUCCCACUUUGAAACAUAAAGCUGCCUGGAUCCCUGAGUCACAGUAUGGAGACAGUCACUCUGGAGAGCCACCAAACUGAAGGGGACUCUUUGUGAGACAGAAGUGAACCUUUAUCGUAUGAAGCUGCUGAGGCUUCAGAGUUUGUUACUACAGCAAAACCUAGCUAACCCUAACUAAUAUAGGUGGAAAAAUACUGGACUAGCACUCAGAAGGCCUGUGUUAUAAAUACAGUCAGUUCUUCUCUAAGAUGACAUUAUGGGUUCCUUAAAAUUGACUACAACGUGCAAAAUUACACACUAAAAAUCACAGUACUUGUGAGAAGAAAUGGAUUUAGAAGCACAGCACUCAAAAACAUCACCAGUGACACAUUAAAAAACAAAUGACAGGAAUCUAAUAAAAUGGUACCUCAGUUUCACACAUGUUAAAUGUUUAAUACACAAAUACAACGUUAAAUAUGAUACUUGACCUUGAAAAAGACCUGAAGUUUGCUGGAGAAGGGAGCUACAGAAGGGUUGUAGCUUAUGACAUAUUAUGAAUGGUUUAAGGAAGGUUAGCUGAAUUCCUCAUCUAGAAAUUUCUACUAGAUCUAGGAUCCAUGAAGUACAGCCUUCCAGCCAAAUCUGACCCUCUACCUUUUUUUGGUAAAUAAAGUUUUAUUAGAACGCAGCUCUGCCUAUCAUUUGCACAUUACCGGCCACUGCUUUCACACUACAACAGCAGUCAAAGAGUCUACAACCAAGGCCAGCAAAGCCUAAAAUAUUUACAAUCUGGCCCUUUACAGAAAAUGUUUGCUAACUCCUAUAUGAGACAGUCUCUGGGAUCCUAUGGGUGUGCCAUUUUCCAUACCUCAAUAUGCCAAAAGAGUGACGAUUAAACCCCCACUUCUGAUCCCCUGCUACUCGAAAAAGGAGGGAGCUAUAGGCAUGUACACACACACACUACAGCAAGACUUUAUCUGAGUAAAGCAUCCAAUCCUGCACUCAUCUCUUCCACACCCCGGGCACUGUGCCAUUACCUGGGGGCAGCCAUCCUCCUCACCCACACACAAGUGCCCUCUGGUCAGCCCACAUCCACCACGGUCUGGGAGCUAGGGUGAAACCUUCCACUUCCCCCUCUUCUUAGGGGACACCUGGGAAAGCCUCUGUCUGGGCCACUGACUGGCUGGAGGGAAGGCCGUGAGCUUGACCUAAUGAGUCAAGUGCAGCAUGCCCAUACUAAACAUCCUUAAUUAAGCUCCCACAAAGGUUAAAUGGGCAAUUGGACUGCCCAAGGGAGGGCUGACUUAGAUAGCCUGGCCCUUUACCCCUCCCCCCGACCAGGACCCACUAGAGCUUCCCUCUGGAAGGGACAUCCUCCAUCCCAAAGGGGGAGGGCCACGAGCCUCCCCACCCCAGGCAUGAACUUUGGUCUGCAGUACGUCCAACACAUGGCUCCUCAGCAAGGGGUGGAGUCCCUGGCCUGUGGGAGUGUCCCAAGUAACAGUCGUCAGAGUGACAUUUGCUAAUCUUCCAGGCCAUGGGCCUUAGCAGUCUGAGAAUGAAAUGGGACAACCGCUCCAGAGGGAUCCCUACCUACAUACAGGAGCCCCAGUGCUCCAUGGCCAGCACUUUCCAAAGUCCACCUCACUUAGGGCCUGUCUAAAAGCCAAAGCAGGGCUGACCCGGCCCAUCAAACCUCCCGCUGCCAGCAUGAGUCACACCACAGCCUUGGGGGUUGGCUGUGCCCAACCCCACUGGCCUCCAGGCCUUCAGUCACUUUUCCUCUACUGGGAAGCUCUUCUCCAAGACAGCAGCCUGGCUCAGUCUUUCACUCCUUCUGGUCAUAGUCACUGGAUCACGGAGGCCCUCCCUGCCCCUUUCCACUCCACCCACCCUCUCUCCCUGGCCCUUCUUAAACGUGCCCCACAGCGCAGACACCACCCGAGGUACACGACGUGCUGUUUAUCCUUAGUCAGUCACGCUGGGAUGCCUGCUCUGCUCACAAAGCAUUCUGAGCACCUAGACCCAUUGUCCAACGAUGUGGCUAGAGUAACAGGUCCAUGAGCCAUGCGCUUCCAGGUGCCAGGCAGCAACCCAACAUGCCUUCUUGCCCAAAAUUCCCCCCAGCAACUAACUAGCUAUACCCAGUUUACAGAGGGAGAAACUGAGUCUCAAUGCCUCUAAAUGACUUGCCCAAGGAAACACAGUAGGUUAAGUGGCAGGAUUCAAACCCAGAUCUGCCUGGCUCCCAAAGCCAGGGUCUCAAUUACCAUGAAACGUAGGAAAUGUGUAUCAAGGUCAACGACAGGCCCCACGUGUGCUUCUAUGCCAACUCACAUGUAAGUCACAGGCAGCUCUGGAAAACUGGGACAGUGGUGGCCUUGUUGCUCACUGCCUUUCUUGAGAGCUAACCUGGAAGUUACCAGAUGGAUAAGCAGUGAGGGGCUGUUGCUCAUUCCCUUGUAGGUGCAUCCAGGAUGGUGCUAGGGGUCUAAGCUUAGGCUCCUCUUGUCUCCCAGCUUCAAAGAGAAAACAAGGGCAAGUUCCCCUGCAAUCCCUCCACAAAGACACCAGGCAGCUCCCCAACAUCCUUGCACACCCCUGCCCAAAGCAGGCUUUCUACCUACCUGUCUGCCAUCAUACACACAAAGAAUGUGGUAACAUUUCUGCAGCCCAAAGGACCAUCCCUGAUAAAUACUGAUGCAAAAAUCCUCAAUAGAAUACUAACAAGUAGACUCUAGCAGCUUAUUAUAAAGAUUGUACAAUUAUUACCAAAUGGGGUUUAUCCCAGGAAUGCAAGGAUGGUUCAACAUAUGAAACUCAAUCAAUGUACUACCCCACAUUACUAAGACAGGGCAAGGGGGAUGGCAUGAUCAUCUCGACUGACACCGAAAGAAUCUGAAAAAACCCAACACCCUUUCAUGAUUAAAGAAAAUAAAAAACACUCUGGAAACUAGAAACAGAAGAGAACUUAUUCAACAUGAUAAAGGCCAAAAAAGAAAUUCUUAGGCAGAAAAGAAGAGAAACUCAAGUGCCUGAGGUGGAGGGCUUC
rnacentral:lncRNA from 9 species